rnacentral:rRNA from 1 species
UACGUAGGGUCCGAGCGUUGUCCGGAAUUACUGGGCGUAAAGAGCUCGUAGGUGGUUUGUCGCGUUGUCCGUGAAAACUCACAGCUCAACUGUGGGCGUGCGGGCGAUACGGGCAGACUGGAGUACUGCAGGGGAGACUGGAAUUCCUGGUGUAGCGGUGGAAUGCGCAGAUAUCAGGAGGAACACCGGUGGCGAAGGCGGGUCUCUGGGCCGAUACUGACGCUGAGGAGCGAAAGCGUGGGGAGCAAACAGG